rnacentral:sRNA from 1 species
GGAUGUGAGGGUGAUCUGGCUGCGACAUCUGUCACCCCAUUGAUCGCCAGGGUUGAUUUGGCUGAUCUGGCUGGCUAGGCGGGUGUCCCCUUCCUCCCUCACCGCUCCAUGUGCGUCCCUCCCAAAGCUGGGCGCUCGGUCAACGAGGACGACCUUCCCCGAUAGAGGAAGACCAUUCCUUGGUCAAGGGUAUACUGUUAGAGCCGGUUCCCCUCGGCCCCGGGAACAGAAAGACAGAGUCACUGAGGCUGCAAAGGCAAAGGAGUUUUAUUUU